GACGAACCGUCCAAACGUUAUUCGGAAUCACUGGGCUUAAAGGGUGCGUAGGCGGUUCGGAAAGUUGGGUGUGAAAGCCCUCGGCUCAACCGAGGAAUUGCGCCCAAAACUACCGGGCUUGAGGAAGAUAGAGGUGAGCGGAACUUAGGGUGGAGCGGUGAAAUGCGUUGAUAUCCUAAGGAACACCAGUAGCGAAAGCGGCUCACUGGGUCUUUUCUGACGCUGAGGCACGAAAGCUAGGGGAGCGAAGAGGAUUAGAUACCCCCGUAGUCC
rnacentral:rRNA from 1 species